CAGGUGAGCUACAGAAAGGACCAGACCGUUCUCUCCUCUAGGGGACUGGGAGCAAACAGGGCCCCACCCCUGUGGUUCUGUUAGUCUGGAUGUACUGGGAACCCUCUGCAGGGCCUCAGGGAUCUCACUCUGAAUACAUCACUGUUAGCCUGUCAUUUCCCGCCCCCACCAGAUUGAGGAAGUGCUACAGAAAGAAAGCCCAUAAGCAGGGCAGCUUUAUGAUUGCAGCAUGUGUGGCGAAACUGCCCUCCCCCUUCCCCCCAGGUUAGGGAAGUGAAAGGUCAAAUGGGAACGAUGAGCCUGACUCAUUACUGCCAGGUACCACACAAACUGUGGCCCCUGUGCAAAGGGACUGUCACAAGCUGCCAGGCCAAUAGCAUUUUACACUCUUUGCACUGGUGUCCCUAGCUGCAGAGUGCAGAGCAGUGGAGAAUCAGGCCCAAUAAAAAACACCAGGGCAAGGCUGACUGGCAUCGUGCAGAAAUCUGGAUCUCAGGAACUGGCAAAAAGCAGUUCAUCUCCCCACCCCCCACUUGCCUCUCUGGAUAAUGACACGUGCCACCCAGAGAACAGAGUUGGGCCUAGGUUUUGUGUGGCUGUGUGUGAAAUAACCCAUGAGGGGCUUGUCCAGCUCGCUUCCCACUGAUGUCCAAACUCCCACACAUCCCUGUAUCCACAGCACCCCUCCUCCCUGCCUGUGACCCCCCUCAGGCUGUAGCAAAUCCCUUACCUCUGAGUGAAGCUCUAUAGCUCCUUGAGGAUUCUCCCUUAUAUGGCCAGGAGAUGGAGCCAACGUGCAGCUUUCCAAGCAGGGGUGGGAAGAGCUGUUAUGAAAUUCACCCCCUGCCAGAGCCCUUGGGCGCCAGAGUCAAACGGGGUCACGGACAGGGAACCAGCUGGGAUGAUGGGAGUGAGAAGUGGGACCCCUGAAAGGGCAGGGAUUAAUGCAGCUGCAUAGGCCUAAAGCAGCAAUUGCUGCUGAGACUCCUAGCCACAAGGAUUCCUGUCACCCAAAGACGACCCUGCCUCCCCUACCACUGUGCACACAAGGGUUCUUCUUCAGAAACCCAGCAACUACUCCUCUAAGGAACAGCACAAACUGGUGUACACUAGCAACAGCGACCCCCUCUGCCGGAGACUUUUCUUUCUCCUGAUUCAUUGGUUUAUCUGUAAACACCUGAGGACCAAGGGAAACCCCCCAGUAUAAACAGCUGUUGUUCAGUGCAGAAACAGCUACACUUCUGGCUCACAGCUGAAAGACAACAACAAAAGAGCAGCCUGAAUUUUUCCAUACUUCAAGGAGGUUUGGGGUCAAGGUUUGGGUGGUACUUUAUUCAAAUCAAAACACCUAACCACUUAUUUAGAUUAUCUUUAGCUAUCUUGUAAAAGCACAAGAUACAAGUACAAAGGUGCCUUAUAUGGGUAUACCUUAUUCUCCUUUCCGUAUAAACACUUUUAUACCAGUAUAACUGUCUGCACUGGGGAGAGGGGAUGUUGAAUCACUCUCACUAUAUAGACAAAGCAGUACAACUUUCUGGUGCAGAAAAGGCCCCAGUUUGCUAAUUUUACAAAGCCUUAUGGCUAAUUUUCUAGGUGGCCUACUCUAUCAGCAUGGUGCCCAGUAUACACCUAUGACCUGCCUCACCUGCUGCUGCUUAAUGACUUCAUCCUCUCUGCUAGAGAAAAUAAAGUUGGAGAGUGAACCCA
ensembl:lncRNA